AGAAUCAACGCUGGCGGCGUGCCUCAGACAUGCAAGUCGAACGAUUAAACUUUCCUUCGGGAAAGAUAUAAAGUGGCGCACGGGUGAGUAACACGUAAGUAAUCUACCUUCGAGUGGGGAAUAACGUUCGGAAACGGACGCUAAUACCGCAUAAUGCAGCGGCAUCGCAAGAUGACAGUUGUUAAAGGAUUUAUUCGCUUGAAGAGGAGCUUGCGGCAGAUUAGCUUGUUGGUAAGGUAACGGCUUACCAAGGCUACGAUCUGUAUCCGGUCUAAGAGGACGGUCGGACACACUGACACUGAAGUAACGGGUCAGACUCCGUACGGGAGGCAGCAGGUCGGGAAUUUGGGCAAGUGGGACGAAAGCCUAGACCCAGACCAACGCCGCGUAGAAGAUGAAGUA
rnacentral:rRNA from 1 species